GGUUAAGCGACUAAGCGUACACGGUGGAUGCCCUGGCAGUCAGAGGCGAUGAAGGACGUGCUAAUCUGCGAUAAGCGUCGGUAAGGUGAUAUGAACCGUUAUAACCGGCGAUUUCCGAAUGGGGAAACCCAGUGUGAUUCGUCACACUAUCAUUAACUGAAUCCAUAGGUUAAUGAGGCGAACCGGGGGAACUGAAACAUCUAAGUACCCCGAGGAAAAGAAAUCAACCGAGAUUCCCCCAGUAGCGGCGAGCGAACGGGGAGCAGCCCAGAGCCUGAAUCAGUGUGUGUGUUAGUGGAAGCGUCUGGAAAGGCGCGCGAUACAGGGUGACAGCCCCGUACACAAAAAUGCACAUACUGUGAGCUCGAUGAGUAGGGCGGGACACGUGGUAUCCUGUCUGAAUAUGGGGGGACCAUCCUCCAAGGCUAAAUACUCCUGACUGACCGAUAGUGAACCAGUACCGUGAGGGAAAGGCGAAAAGAACCCCGGCGAGGGGAGUGAAAAAGAACCUGAAACCGUGUACGUACAAGCAGUGGGAGCACGCUUAGGCGUGUGACUGCGUACCUUUUGUAUAAUGGGUCAGCGACUUAUAUUCUGUAGCAAGGUUAACCGAAUAGGGGAGCCGAAGGGAAACCGAGUCUUAACUGGGCGUUAAGUUGCAGGGUAUAGACCCGAAACCCGGUGAUCUAGCCAUGGGCAGGUUGAAGGUUGGGUAACACUAACUGGAGGACCGAACCGACUAAUGUUGAAAAAUUAGCGGAUGACUUGUGGCUGGGGGUGAAAGGCCAAUCAAACCGGGAGAUAGCUGGUUCUCCCCGAAAGCUAUUUAGGUAGCGCCUCGUGAAUUCAUCUCCGGGGGUAGAGCACUGUUUCGGCAAGGGGGUCAUCCCGACUUACCAACCCGAUGCAAACUGCGAAUACCGGAGAAUGUUAUCACGGGAGACACACGGCGGGUGCUAACGUCCGUCGUGAAGAGGGAAACAACCCAGACCGCCAGCUAAGGUCCCAAAGUCAUGGUUAAGUGGGAAACGAUGUGGGAAGGCCCAGACAGCCAGGAUGUUGGCUUAGAAGCAGCCAUCAUUUAAAGAAAGCGUAAUAGCUCACUGGUCGAGUCGGCCUGCGCGGAAGAUGUAACGGGGCUAAACCAUGCACCGAAGCUGCGGCAGCGACGCUUAUGCGUUGUUGGGUAGGGGAGCGUUCUGUAAGCCUGUGAAGGUGUACUGUGAGGUAUGCUGGAGGUAUCAGAAGUGCGAAUGCUGACAUAAGUAACGAUAAAGCGGGUGAAAAGCCCGCUCGCCGGAAGACCAAGGGUUCCUGUCCAACGUUAAUCGGGGCAGGGUGAGUCGACCCCUAAGGCGAGGCCGAAAGGCGUAGUCGAUGGGAAACAGGUUAAUAUUCCUGUACUUGGUGUUACUGCGAAGGGGGACGGAGAAGGCUAUGUUGGCCGGGCGACGGUUGUCCCGGUUUAAGCGUGUAGGCUGGUUUUCCAGGCAAAUCCGGAAAAUCAAGGCUGAGGCGUGAUGACGAGGCACUACGGUGCUGAAGCAACAAAUGCCCUGCUUCCAGGAAAAGCCUCUAAGCAUCAGGUAACAUCAAAUCGUACCCCAAACCGACACAGGUGGUCAGGUAGAGAAUACCAAGGCGCUUGAGAGAACUCGGGUGAAGGAACUAGGCAAAAUGGUGCCGUAACUUCGGGAGAAGGCACGCUGAUAUGUAGGUGAAGUCCCUCGCGGAUGGAGCUGAAAUCAGUCGAAGAUACCAGCUGGCUGCAACUGUUUAUUAAAAACACAGCACUGUGCAAACACGAAAGUGGACGUAUACGGUGUGACGCCUGCCCGGUGCCGGAAGGUUAAUUGAUGGGGUCAGCGCAAGCGAAGCUCUUGAUCGAAGCCCCGGUAAACGGCGGCCGUAACUAUAACGGUCCUAAGGUAGCGAAAUUCCUUGUCGGGUAAGUUCCGACCUGCACGAAUGGCGUAAUGAUGGCCAGGCUGUCUCCACCCGAGACUCAGUGAAAUUGAACUCGCUGUGAAGAUGCAGUGUACCCGCGGCAAGACGGAAAGACCCCGUGAACCUUUACUAUAGCUUGACACUGAACAUUGAGCCUUGAUGUGUAGGAUAGGUGGGAGGCUUUGAAGUGUGGACGCCAGUCUGCAUGGAGCCGACCUUGAAAUACCACCCUUUAAUGUUUGAUGUUCUAACGUUGACCCGUGAUCCGGGUUGCGGACAGUGUCUGGUGGGUAGUUUGACUGGGGCGGUCUCCUCCUAAAGAGUAACGGAGGAGCACGAAGGUUGGCUAAUCCUGGUCGGACAUCAGGAGGUUAGUGCAAUGGCAUAAGCCAGCUUGACUGCGAGCGUGACGGCGCGAGCAGGUGCGAAAGCAGGUCAUAGUGAUCCGGUGGUUCUGAAUGGAAGGGCCAUCGCUCAACGGAUAAAAGGUACUCCGGGGAUAACAGGCUGAUACCGCCCAAGAGUUCAUAUCGACGGCGGUGUUUGGCACCUCGAUGUCGGCUCAUCACAUCCUGGGGCUGAAGUAGGUCCCAAGGGUAUGGCUGUUCGCCAUUUAAAGUGGUACGCGAGCUGGGUUUAGAACGUCGUGAGACAGUUCGGUCCCUAUCUGCCGUGGGCGCUGGAGAACUGAGGGGGCUGCUCCUAGUACGAGAGGACCGGAGUGGACGCAUCACUGGUGUUCGGGUUGUCAUGCCAAUGGCACUGCCCGGUAGCUAAAUGCGGAAGAGAUAAGUGCUGAAAGCAUCUAAGCACGAAACUUGCCCCGAGAUGAGUUCUCCCUGACUCCUUGAGAGUCCUGAAGGAACGUUGAAGACGACGACGUUGAUAGGCCGGGUGUGUAAGCGCAGCGAUGCGUUGAGCUAACCGGUACUAAUGAACCGUGAGGCUUAACCUU
rnacentral:rRNA from 1 species